rnacentral:rRNA from 1 species
GACGAACGCUGGCGGCGUGCCUAAUACAUGCAAGUUGAGCGCUGAAGGUUGGUACUUGUACCAACUGGAUGAGCAGCGAACGGGUGAGUAACGCGUGGGGAAUCUGCCUUUGAGCGGGGGACAACAUUUGGAAACGAAUGCUAAUACCGCAUAAAAACUUUAAACACAAGUUUUAAGUUUGAAAGAUGCAAUUGCAUCACUCAAAGAUGAUCCCGCGUUGUAUUAGCUAGUUGGUGAGGUAAAGGCUCACCAAGGCGAUGAUACAUAGCCGACCUGAGAGGGUGAUCGGCCACAUUGGGACUGAGACACGGCCCAAACUCCUACGGGAGGCAGCAGUAGGGAAUCUUCGGCAAUGGACGAAAAUCUGACCGAGCAACGCCGCGUGAGUGAAGAAGGUUUUCGGAUCGUAAAACUCUGUUGGUAGAGAAGAACGUUGGUGAGAGUGGAAAGCUCAUCAAGUGACGGUAACUACCCAGAAAGGGACGGCUAACUACGUG